GAGGAAUCUUCCACAAUGGGCGAAAGCCUGAUGGAGCAACGCCGCGUGCAGGAUGAAGGCCUUCGGGUCGUAAACUGCUUUUAUAAGUGAAGAAUAUGACGGUAACUUAUGAAUAAGGAUCGGCUAACUACGUGCCAGCAGCCGCGGUCAUACGUAGGAUCCGAGCGUUAUCCGGAGUGACUGGGCGUAAAGAGUUGCGUAGGCGGUUAGUUAAGUGAAUAGUGAAACCUGGUGGCUCAACCAUACAGACUAUUAUUCAAACUGGCUAACUCGAGAAUAGCAGAGGUAACUGGAAUUUCUUGUGUAGGAGUGAAAUCCGUAGAUAUAAGAAAGAACACCAAUGGCGUAGGCAGGUUACUGGGCUAUUUCUGACGCUAAGGCACGAAAGCGUGGGGAGCGAACCGGAUUAGAUACCCUGGUAG
rnacentral:rRNA from 1 species